GCCGGCCGUGCCGUCGCCGCUCUGGCGUGAGAAGCAGAGGAAGGUGGCCCAGACGAAGGCGCAGCAGCCGGUGAAGGCGGUCCGAAUUUCUCCCUCCAGUCUUCAAAGAUGUCGUUGUUUCCCUCCAGGAAGCUGACACCUGAGUGAAGAAGAACCCACAGCAGACCGUUCACUCUGUGACUGAUGGGCGGUUUAAAAAACAACGUACGGGGACGAUAAACACGCCGAUGUGUGUGUUAUAGCAGCAAUCAUCACAUAAUCACUCAAGAAAGAUGUCACAUUGUGUUUUCCCGAGCAGUGUUAUCGAUACACAUUAUGAACAAUGCAGUAUUAUGAGAUUUGUAUUGCGUUUUUUAAUGUAGAUUAAUGUUACGGUUUUCCGCCAGGCGUCAGAUUAAUAAUAUUACGUAGACAUAUUUUAUUUAUAUUAAUUUUGUGUUUUUUUCUAUAAUAUUGUGACAUUUUAAUAUUAUAUAUGUGGAGGCUUCAAAUAAGCCCAGUGGGCUGUUUGCCUUUCCCUGCACUGUGAUAUUAUUUACCUCUGUUGUGUUUUUGUGUUUUCUUUUAUUGUGUUUUUUUUAUAUUUUAAUGAAAGCCCGCACUUAGUAAAUCUAUUUUUCUAAUGUAAUAUAAUAUCCAUUUAAAAGGCAGUAUUCAAGUG